rnacentral:rRNA from 1 species
AUUGAACGCUGGCGGCAGGCCUAACACAUGCAAGUCGAGCGGUUGACGGGAGCUUGCUCCCUGAUUCAGCGGCGGACGGGUGAGUAAUGCCUAGGAAUCUGCCUAUUAGUGGGGGACAACGUUUCGAAAGGAACGCUAAUACCGCAUACGUCCUACGGGAGAAAGCAGGGGACCUUCGGGCCUUGCGCUAAUAGAUGAGCCUAGGUCGGAUUAGCUUGUUGGUGAGGUAAUGGCUCACCAAGGCGACGAUCCGUAACUGGUCUGAGAGGAUGAUCAGUCACACUGGAACUGAGACACGGUCCAGACUCCUACGGGAGGCAGCAGUGGGGAAUAUUGGACAAUGGGCGAAAGCCUGAUCCAGCCAUGCCGCGUGUGUGAAGAAGGUCUUCGGAUUGUAAAGCACUUUAAGUUGGGAGGAAGGGUUGUAGAUUAAUACUCUGCAAUUUUGACGUUACCGACAGAAUAAGCACCGGCUAACUCUGUGCCAGCAGCCGCAGUAA